CCUACGGUGGGCUGCAGUGGGGAAUAUUGGACAAUGGGCGAAAGCCUGAUCCAGCCAUGCCGCGUGUGUGAAGAAGGCCUUCGGGUUGUAAAGCACUUUCAGUGGGGAAGAAAGCCUUGGGGCUAAUACCCUCGAGGAAGGACAUCACCCACAGAAGAAGCACCGGCUAACUCCGUGCCAGCAGCCGCGGUAAUACGGAGGGUGCGAGCGUUAAUCGGAAUUACUGGGCGUAAAGCGCGCGUAGCGGUCUGAUAAGCCGGUUGUGAAAGCCCCGGGCUCAACCUGGGAACGGCAUCCGGAACUGUCAGGCUAGAGUGCAGGAGAGGAAGGUAGAAUUCCCGGUGUAGCGGUGAAAUGCGUAGAGAUCGGGAGGAAUACCAGUGGCGAAGGCGGCCUUCUGGACUGACACUGACGCUGAGGUGCGAAAGCGUGGGUAGCAAACAGGAUUAGAUACCCUAGUAGUC
rnacentral:rRNA from 1 species